UACGUAGGGUCCGAGCGUUGUCCGGAAUUACUGGGCGUAAAGAGCUCGUAGGUGGUUUGUCGCGUUGUUCGUGAAAACUCACAGCUCAACUGUGGGCGUGCGGGCGAUACGGGCAGACUUGAGUACUGCAGGGGAGACUGGAAUUCCUGAUGUAGCGGUGGAAUGCGCAGAUAUCAGGAGGAACACCGGUGGCGAAGGCGGGUCUCUGGGCAGUAACUGACGCUGAGGAGCGAAAGCGUGGGGAGCGAAUGGG
rnacentral:rRNA from 1 species